rnacentral:rRNA from 2 species
GAUGAGAUUUCCCAUUUCUUUAAGAAAGUAAGAUCCCUGAGAGAUGAUCAGGUAGAUAGGUCAGGAGUGGAAGUACAGUGAUGUAUGGAGCGGACUGAUACUAAUCGAUCGAGGACUUAACCAA